UCUCUGGUAGCCUAAUGGUUAGAGCGCCCGCCUCGGAUGCGGGAGGUUCUGAGUUCGAUCCACGGUCGAGUCUUACCAAAGA